UCCGUCAUUUCCGUCACCUCCGUCAGUUCCGUCAGUUCCGUCAGUUCCGUCACCUCCGUCAGUUCCGUCAGUUCCGUCAUCGCCGUCAGUUCCGUCAGUUCUGUCACUUCCGUCACCUCCGUCAGUUCCGUCACCUCCGUCAGUUCCGUCACCUCCGUCAGUUCCGUCACCUCCGUCAGUUCCGUCACCUCCGUCACCUCCGUCAGUUCCUUGUCAACUCUGUCACUUAUUGCUAUCCCACUUAAGACAUAUACAGUAUAUAUACAGUAUAUGUAUAUGCAUAUAUAUAUAUUAUAUUUUAUAUUCUGAAACAAUAUGUUAAUAAUAGUCCUGCAAAAUAUGCUUAAACUAUUGAACUGUUUGCUGUGCUGUGAAAAUCAGGAUAAACCUAACUUUACAAAUCUUGUUUAAUUUUCUUAAUCUAGAAAAACAUUCCAAAAAAUGCUAAUGAAAUGAACCCUGGAGAAUUAUACAAUGGUAUAAAACCAAACACAAAAAAAGACAUUGAGAUCUGUAUUAAACAAGCUACAAUGUUAAACAAGCUACAAUGUUAGAAGGAAACAAAGCCAUUAAACAAGCUACAAUGUUAGAAGGAAACAAGGCCAUUAAACACUCGUCGGACAGUAAAAACAUAAGGCCUUUCAUGUCUGAAGGAGUUUUACUAUGAAAAAAAGGUCAUCAUUAGGAGGUUGUUCCUUUACAAAGGUGUGAUAGCUAAUACUUUGGUUUAUUAUUAAAAUAUAUAUUUAAAAUGUUGUUAUUAUGAAGAAAAAAAAUAUUUGGGCUAAAAGGUUUUUUGAUUGUUCCGUCUUUCGAGAAACCCUGAUUUACAUGUAUGAGGAAUUUGACCUGGGUGCAGGGGCUAGGGUGCAGGGGCGAGGGUGUAGGGGCGAGGGUGUAGGGGCGAGGGUGUAGGGGAGAGGGUGUAGGGGCGAGGGUGUAGGGGCGAGGGUGCAGGGGCUAGGGUGCAGGGGCGAGGGUGCAGGGGCGAGGGUGUAGGGGAGAGGGUGUAGGGGAGAGGGUGUAGGGGCUAGGGUGUAGGGGCGAGGGUGUAGGGGCUAGGGUGUAGGGCUAGGGUGUAGGCGCUAGGGUGUAGGGGC
ensembl:lncRNA